rnacentral:lncRNA from 1 species
UGCUAAUUCAAAAUGCUGGGACUUCAGAGGUAGCACAGGCUGUGUAGGUGUGGCGUGAUCUUGUCCUUCCUGCCCUUGAGAGCAGUCCUCCAGAGCUGCCAUGGAAGAGGUGCCACCAGGACCAGUUUAUACUCCCUACUUCUGCUUGAGGAAGGUCAUUUCUGUCUGAUGAAAGUCACCAGGGGGACUAUGGGUUUCCACAGACCACAACGGACUCGAAUUUCCCCAGCAUGAGACAGAGCUGCCCC